ACGGGAGCGAUCCUUCCUGCAGUGAAACUUACAGAAGCCUUAGCAGCCCGAAAGGGUGCCCCUCCGCGACAGAAAACAAUGCCUGAGUGAGGAUAAUUGCUAGUCGACACCUCGGUGUCGGCAACAUCGUCAAAUUGCGGGAACCUCCUAAAGCUUUUAGCUACCAAGCAGUGCGGGAAACCUCACUGUGGCCAGGGUAAUGACCUCGGGUACGGUAACAACGCUAAAGAUACUACAAUGGACGAUCCGCAGCCAAGUCCUAACGACCCCCCCGGGGUACGGAUGCUGUUCACAGGCCAAAUGAUGAUGGGUAGCCCCGCGAGGGGCUGCUUAAGAUAUGGUCGGGCCCCCGGGGAAACCCAGGGGGAAAUUCACUACAAGCCGUUCCGUAGGUGAACCUGCGGAAGGAUCAUUA
rnacentral:rRNA from 1 species